UCGCCUGUUUAUCAAAAACAUUAUGCACGAACCCAUAUUUUGUGCAUAUUACGUGUCAAGGUCACUGUUCUUAUACAGUGUUAGCUUGCCGUGCUUCUUUUAUGUUGACUUGCAAGGCGUCUCUUAUUAUUUACCUUCUGCAAAUAUUGGCUGACGUGCACAUUUCGUCUGGUCUACUGACUUGCGAGCCAGCAAACAGGUUUCUUUGAAACUUGUUACACUCUGUUUUUCUUUCAGCAGGAAAAUGACGCCGCAUCUCUGUGUAAUCGGUUUCCUGACGUUUAGGGAUAACAGCGUAA
rnacentral:rRNA from 1 species